UCACUUCCAAUUCAUGCCACAAGUCCUAUGUAAGAGGUGUCGGGCAACCGACUAUGGCGAUAAAUUGCUGCGUGCAAUAGGUACAACGGACCCGGGGGCAGUACCCGGCGUCUCCACCAUAACCCUCUGUUAAAAGAGGAUUUUGACGGGGACGAACUAGGAUCGACGUGGACUGAAAAGCGUAGUUUUUGCCCGGGCUGAAAACCCCGUAAAACUGUUCACAACUCAUAAGUGCAAACGAUAACGAAGCACUCGCAAUCGCUGCGUAAUCUGACGGCCUAACGGCCUGAUCUUACAAAGCUAAAGCGCGGUUGGACCGACCGGGCAACAGAACGGAUUCCGG
rnacentral:tmRNA from 1 species